ensembl:lncRNA
CCUGGGUCACUGCGAGCAAAACAGCCACUACAGAUUGCUGACUCGCACAGAAAGAUGGGAGUGGGCGGAAGGAAUGUGGAACUGUCAUGAGACCGCUAUGCCAGCAGCCAUGAGACAAGCUGCAAUCAACUGAAGUUGGAAGGUACCUAUGGAGAUCAACAAGUCCAACAUCCUUCCACAAAGUGAGAGGGGUCAAGUAGAACAGGUGGCUUACAGCUGCAUCCAGUUGGGUUUGAACAUCUCCAAGAGUGAAGACUCCAUAACCUCACCAGAUGAAGU